UCCUACGGGAGGCAGCAGUAGGGAAUCUUCCGCAAUGGACGAAAGUCUGACGGAGCAACGCCGCGUGAGUGAUGUAGGUUUUCGGAUCGUAAAACUCUGUUGUUAGGGAAGAACAAGUACCGGAGUAACUGCCGGUACCUUGACGGUACCUAACCAGAAAGCCACGGCUAACUACGUGCCAGCAGCCGCGGUAAUACGUAGGUGGCAAGCGUUGUCCGGAAUUAUUGGGCGUAAAGCGCGCGCAGGCGGUUCCUUAAGUCUGAUGUGAAAGCCCCCGGCUCAACCGGGGAGGGUCAUUGGAAACUGGGGAACUUGAGUGCAGAAGAGAAGAGUGGAAUUCCACGUGUAGCGGUGAAAUGCGUAGAGAUGUGGAGGAACACCAGUGGCGAAGGCGACUCUUUGGUCUGUAACUGACGCUGAGGCGCGAAAGCGUGGGGAGCAAACAGGAUUAGAUACCCUGGUAGUCCACGCCGUAAACGAUGAGUGCUAAGUGUUAGAGGGUUUCCGCCCUUUAGUGCUGCAGCAAACGCAUUAAGCACUCCGCCUGGGGAGUACGGCCGCAAGGCUGAAACUCAAAGGAAUUGACGGGGGCCCGCACAAGCGGUGGAGCAUGUGGUUUAAUUCGAAGCAACGCGAAGAACCUUACCAGGUCUUGACAUCUUCUGACAACCCUAGAGAUAGGGCGUUCCCCUUCGGGGGACAGGAUGACAGGUGGUGCAUGGUUGUCGUCAGCUCGUGUCGUGAGAUGUUGGGUUAAGUCCCGCAACGAGCGCAACCCUUGAUCUUAGUUGCCAGCAUUCAGUUGGGCACUCUAAGGUGACUGCCGGUGACAAACCGGAGGAAGGUGGGGAUGACGUCAAAUCAUCAUGCCCCUUAUGACCUGGGCUACACACGUGCUACAAUGGAUGGUACAAAGGGCUGCGAGACCGCAAGGUGGAGCGAAUCCCAAAAAGCCGGUCUCAGUUCGGAUUGAGGUCUGCAACUCGACCUCAUGAAGUCGGAGUCGCUAGUAAUCGCAGAUCAGCAACGCUGCGGUGAAUACGUUCCCGGGCCUUGUACACACCGCC
rnacentral:rRNA from 1 species